UCAAAUGUUGGACAGGGUCGCACCUCUCAGUGUGAAGAGCUGGUACUCUGAUCUUAGUACCUGAAAUACCUAACUCAUUCCAGGAUCAGGGGGCGAGCAGAGAAGCAGGAGCACCCUGUAAAUACUUCUGGAAUUGAAAUGGGCAGAGGCCACACAAACGAACGAGAAGUGGCUACUACCCUUGAGAACUUACCCAUCUAUCACAGAAGCUGAAGAAAACGUAAGGGAGACGUGAGAAAGGUGAAACUAACCAAGUCUUAUGUGGGAAAUUGUCUUUGAAGGGAGUGCUGUGCUGCAGUCAUGAGUGGGGACAGACCGGGGGCGGGGGGCUGCACUAGGUGCAGUAGUGCGUUUCCAGUCAUAGGAUGCAGGGUAUGCAAAAUUAGCAUUCUUUCCCUUCAUCCACAGUUACUGCUGGUGCUACCAAUCCCCAUGCUCUUCAAAAACAUUUCCUCCUCUGCAUAUUUCUGCUGAGUAAUAGUUCAUGUGUUUGCUUUUCUCUCUGUACCAAGAGCUCCUUAACCAAAGGGUCAUCUCUUCUUUUUGUUCUCCCAACAUAGUACCUUAUAACCAGGCAUUAACAAAUAGUCCUGAAAGUAAUGAAUGGAAGAACAGCUCAGGUCUAUGUCUUCUGCAGUUCUUGGCAGAUAUAACCACAGUGUUGUUAUUACUAUUACUUUUAUUUUUUGUGAUAUAUCCUUAAUCAAAAAUAUUUUAUGAUAAGUCAUCUAAUUGACAAUUAUUUUAUCAAUAAACUUAUCCUUAUUUAUCAUAUUUUGCUUAUUUGUUAAGAUUGCUUUAAAUAUUCCAUUCCUUCAUUUUUAUAGCAAAUUACUAUUGAGUCUUUAAUUUGCCAUCUCAUAUCUUAUACCAUAGGCAUCCAAUGAUAUCCAACACACACACACACACACACACACACACACACACACACACACACACACACACUGUUCUUGAGAUAGAAAAAAAAUCCAAUUGGGAAUUAGUUACAUUAACCAAAUACUCUCCCCCAAAAUGUAUGAUUCGAGAUGCUUGUUAGUACUACUAAAGAAUGAUUCAUGGCAUAAUGUAGACCCAAGGAGAUUGCAACGUUAGGAUGUGGCUAAGAAAAUACCUUUUGGUUAUGAGCUAAAUGGCAAGCAGAAGUUCUAUGCUCAAAGGACUGGAAGGGUGCAGAUGUUUUUAGGUAGAAUGUGCGCAGGCCUUUGGAAAAUGGAGCAUGGAAGUUCAAAGAACUAAAAGAGAAGAUGAGAAUGGCUAGGGUAGUGGUGGGGUCAGGGAUGGCAUGGAAAAGAAAGAGAUGCAGGGGAAUACAGUAAAAUGAGAUCAAGCUUGAGCCUGUCAGGGUUAGACCACAGGCCCAAAAAAUAUCUUAAGAAUUUUGGUUUGGAAUUCUAAGAGCCAUAGGGUAGGCAUGUGAGCCAAGUUGACUGGCAUCAUGUGAAAAACCUUCACUUUAGUAAUACGAAAAGGGAUGGGCUAGAGAAAAACACAGCAAUAGAAAAUUUAGGAAAUUACAAAAGGAGGAUAUGAAAUUAAUCCAAAUAUAUUUAUAUGGCGGAUAGGUUAUUUCUCUGCCAGUGAAAGAAACCAAUUCGAGCCAGAUUAGAGUAUAUUAGAGGCAGGUUUAUCGGGAGUCUGCUCUCAGGUGAGUUCGCAGGCUGGGGGCUGGGGAGGAAGGAGAGAGCGAGAGUGAGAGCGAGAGCAAGAGCAAGAGCGAGAGCGAGAGUGUGCAAGAGAGAAUGUCUGCAUUGUAUAAGGAAAUGCCGGGGUGAGAGUGGCGGGGGCGGGGAGGGCAUCCCAGCCCUUGAACAGGGUUGGGGACAGGGUAUGUCAGAUAGAGACAUUAGAACAUAAUACUUGCCUAAUCCUUUUAAGAUUUUCUUUUCCAGCUUUUGCUCUUUAUUGCUGACAGGCUCUUUGGCUGCGGCUGGCUCUUCAGGAGCAGUGGGUUCUCUGUCUAUCUCUUCAGUGGUUUCUUCAUAGUCAACAUCCUCAUUGUCUGGUGCCUCUGUGUUUGGGGGCUGCUCCUUAGUUUCAGAGGUGCUCUCCUUCCCUCGGGGACUGGCAGCAGACCCAUACGUGCUUAUGAUGUCUUCCAGUUGCCUGCUCAACUCUUCCGCGACAUCAUGGGCUCCCUUCUCGGGAUGCAGGCUUCCCUCUUGCUCUGGCGCUUGGCCUGAGGUUGAGCACCGCUCGCCAUCUUGCUUUCCCGGGCCGUUUUGAUUGAGUGAUGAGCUGUCCCCUGGGGGAGUUGGGUGCUCCACUGAGAGCUGAUCAGGAUGAUUAAUCUCCAUAUGGGAGUGGGGUCUGGUGGGAAGCACAGUCAUGGUUCACCUAACGAUUUCACUUACAUAUUAAUGAUAAGGAUAUCUCUCAGAGAGGCGCCACCUAAUUUUGGGAUCCGCCACAGAAUAAAUGAACUUCCACAUACCAUCGACACUAAAACUCAGGUCGUAUUACUGUCCUAUCUUGAGUGUAAUCUUCACAUUUUAGCACUACCCCUUUUUGUUGAAAUUGUUUGAGUUAAUUUAUGGUAUUGUUUUUAUGAAUAUAUUUGUCAAUUUGUGUUAGGAUUUUCAGGUAUAGACCUCACAGUCCUUAAAAGUGCUUGCACAUAGACAUUUUCAUGCAAAGUUUAAUUUUUAUUUAACUUUUAAUUUAAUAUUUAAUACAGGAACCAUUCUGAUUACUAAAAAUAAUUCGUAACAGUUACAUCCAUAAGCUAUUUUUCAAUCUUUAGGUAAAAAGUUUAACUUGUGUAUUUUACUACAUUAUUAGGUAAAAUUGCUUUUCUAGUGUUUUCUCCCUGAUAAUAAGCAACAUGCAAUUAUCAAUCAGAAAAAAAAGGGUUUUUGAACUUCAGAUUAAUGUUUUUUAAUUAAAACAGGGAAUGAGAAAUGUAUAAAUAAGUCAGUAAUAUGAAUGAAUGAUGAUGAUCCUUAGAAAUAUAUUUUCAUAUGUAUAUAUGUGUAUGAGUAUUUUCACACAUAUGUGUAUGUGUGUGUGUGUGUGUGUGUACAUGCAGAGGCCAGAGAAGGAUGUCUGGUGUCACAUCCAUCUUCUACCUUUAAAACAAGAGCCUCUCACUGAACCUGGCACUAGGAUGGCAGUCAGCAAGCCCCAGUUAUCCUCCUGCCUCUGUCCCUAACAGCACUGUAAUUGCAUGCUCAUUUGACUGCAUCCAAGUUUCCACAUGGUUGUCAGGAUCAGAACUCUAAUCCUUACGCUUGUAUAGCAAGCAGUUUUGCUCACUGAGCCAUCUCGCCAGCCCACAUAUAAUACUAACUCCUUAAAUUUCUAUAACAUUCUUUUACUCUAGAAACUGACUUCAUCUUUGAAGUAAAAAGAUGAUAAUUUUCUAACUUAAAAAGUUCUAGGAAAAUGUAAGAAUUUUAAGACAUAGCAAUGUAUAUCUUAAGCUAGAAAAAUAAUUCAAAUGCAAUAUGGACUCAAACCAGGCAUGCUGGGGCAUGUCUACUUCUUAUUUGUAAAAGGAAGGCAAGUCAGGCGUUCAAGGUCAUUGUCAGCUACACAGAGUCCCUAGCCUGCCUCUGCUAUAUAAUCCUGUCUCCCAGCAGCAACAACAUCAACAACAACACCCACAUAAUAGUAGAGCCUCUGGGAAAUAUGGAACAACACAGCACAUUGCAUUAGAGACUCCGGGCUUUGCUCCUACCAUGCUGAGGGGCGGAGAGAUUUGGCUUAGGGUUUAACUUCUGGUGCGUUUUGUUUACAAAUAGAACGCAAUAGUUAUGCUGCUAACUAAUAGCAUAAAACUAUGGCAGCGUUCCCUAGCUUCACGGGUCGUGCGGUUGUGUUGGCAUGUCAGUGGAAACAAAAACAUGCUGUGUUAUCAACUGCAUAGCUUCCUUGGCUCAUUUUUAGGGCAAGUGUCAAGCACUUGAAUGUAGUAGGUGUUGAACACUUGACUGCCAACCCGAGAGUGGAAGACACAGUGUGGAGACAGUCCCCACCCACCUGUGGCUCCCCCAGGACUUAGGAGGAAGGUCAUUCCUUUUAAUUCAAUCACUUGGUUAUCACACAAUGUGGCUGCGUCUCCACCACUGCAAUCGAGAGCCUGACCUCCGCUCGCCAUGCUCUCUGCUAUAUAUAACUCCUGCCUCCCCCAAGCACACAGAGAGACACGUGUCACCUGCUGCCCUGCCAGAAGUUAUUUUAAGUUCUUCUAAAAUGAGUUCUGACAUUUAGCCCUUCAUCCCUAAAGUCAAGAGAAUAGGCUCUCAGUCAGACUAAAAAUUGUGACCAUUUACUGGUUUGAAUCCAUAUGUGAACUUUUAAGUGUAGGGGAGAUUAUCAUUGGGUGAGAUCUGAAGUCAAUCAAAGUUCAAAGCAGUUAUUUCAAACAGUCCACGGGCAUUUUACUGUGGUUAGGCUACAUGAAAAUGUUCACGUGAUCUAUUCAAGCUUAGGUCUAUGGAUAUUCUUUAAAUUCCUGUUCCACAUUAGUUGAUGUGUGUGUGUGUGUGUGUGUGUGUGUGUGUGUGUGUGUGUGUGUCAGUCUCAGCACCUCAAAUGCUCCACUGAUGUGCAGUAUCUCCAAACUCCAACCUUCUUUUAAAACAGUAACCUAUUUUGUUUAGAGGACAAUUUACUUCUUUAAGACACCUCAGAACAAACUAACAAGAAGGAAAACCAAAUAUAAACAAAGUCAAAGAACCUUAAAAUCGUCCUUUUUGUAGCAAAGUUUCUUCUCACAAAGAAACUCUAAAAUCUGUCUUUUACAAACUUUAUUGGCUCUGUGCCCCUCCGGGAAGGAGGAAUGUUUCCCCUGUGCUAGCUGUGGCUGCUCACACACGCACACGCACCAUCCCUUCCUGAUCCACCCGCUGUCUUGUGAAGUUGAACAAUGGAAAGCCCUUCUACCAUUUGCUGGCGUCUGUAACUUUUGAACACUACAGACUACAGGCUACAGGCUGCCCCUCAGGGCUUGGGGAAGUGUUUGUCAUACUUACCAGAAGGAAGGGAGCUAAGCAGGAAGAGAAAAGAGAGGAAAGAGGUGGUAGAGUCAGAGGAGGAGCAGCAGCAGCAGCAGCAGCAGCAGCAGGAACAGGCAGCAGGGCUGAGUUCUUACAAGGAGGGAGAAACUGCACACACACACACACACACACACACACACACACACACACACACACACACGCCCACAAAAGGAGGGGGCGGGGAAGGAAACACCCGUGACGCAGCAAGAAAGAAGUCUGCCUGUGCUUCAGUAGGUGUCGCCAGGGGAGUAUCCUUUGAAAGAAAAGCAGCUGGUGAAUUGUGAGACUCUCCAUGUUUAGCCCUCUUUAAAAUUCAAACCCAGAUGAAUGGCCUCCUGGUGCGGUUUUCUGACAUUGUUGUUAUUUUGGAACACAUCAGGAGUGUUUUUAUUUCUUGGUUUAUCUCCGUGGGGUUUAUGAUUCAACCCUGGAUUAGUUAGUAUCAGGUUUCUUUUAGGAACCACCAAAGAUGCGGUGUGGCACAGCACAGGAGAAGUGGCAGAGACACUAAUUCUGAGGACACUGCUUUCUUGUGGUUGUUACUAUUGUUUUUGCAAAGUUUGAAAUGCACAUUUAGGUGGCUUUUGGAACUGUGGUUUAGGUAGUCUUUGCAUGUGUGCUGUGUCCAGAGCUGACAUCUCAUCAGCUUGUUCAUCCUAAAAAUGCCUUCCUAGGGCCUAGAGGCAGAGGUAGGUGGCUCUCUGUGACUUCAAGGCCAGCCUGGUCAAUAUGGUGACUUCCAGGACAGUCAGAGGAACGGCUUAAUAUCCUGUGUAAAAGAAACAAGGAUUAGCUUGUUAGCUUCCUCCUAACUCAUAGCCAUUCAUGGGUGCCUUAAGCUUUCUGGGGAAUGUAUUUCCAUGUUUUACCAAAACAGAUUUAGUCUUGGCACAGCAUCUCUGAGAAUUUAGUCACCCCAAAGACAUCCAGCCCUUGAAUCUGGCACUUUACGUGUAGAGGGGACUUGCAGAUGUGGUCAAGGAUUGUGGGGUGGAGAGUCAUCUAGAAUGAUCUGAGGGUGACCACUAAUCACAGAGUCCUUAUAAAUGAGGCAAGCAGGCUGAGAAUCAGAUCAGAUCUGUCGAUCUAAGUGGGGUGUGUCAUGGAGUAAGGUCCUGCGUCGAGGAGCAUAAGAAGCCUUAGAAGCUGGGAAGGCAACAAAACACUCUUCUCUCAAGCCUCCAGAGGGAUGCAGCCACACCAACAGCUUCACCUCAGACCCCAUGGAACUCAUUUUGGACUUUGACCUCCAGCACUGUAAAGGAGUAAGUUCACGUUUUUUAAAAAGCCUCUACCUCAGUGUCAGAUUGUUAAAGGGAAUGAAACGGAAGCUAACGUGCACCCCACUCCCAAGUGCUUCCCUACUUCCUGAGCUCGGGGUGCUGUAAGUCACAAUCACAGAAAGGGCUGAAAAGGGGUGCAGGAAAGGCAUGAUGGGAAGAAGCAGCCUGAGAAGGAGAAACUCUGACAGAGACACUGCAGUGACUGUUAAUCCUGGGAUUUGCCAGAGAAAAAACCCCAAGUCCACCAGCUCCGGGCAAAUUAAAGCUAGCUUUAUUAAAUAUUAAAUACUGACCACCAAAUCCUCGACUUUAAUCAGGACCAUUCCCUGGAGUUUCUCAGCUGGAAUGGCCUUGAGCCUGUGUAGCAGGGAUUUAUAAGGAUGACCUAUAGGCCAUCAUAGUUUCCUAUGAGGCUUUGUUAUUUUCUGAGAACUACAACUCCCAGCAUUCCCGGAAGUUACCUGGUCCUUGGGCAACUGGGGUUUACAGGUUAAUUUCGGGCCUUUCAUGGCAAACACAAUGAAACUGGUGAAAGAAAAUAAUAUUCUCUCCUUAAUCCUCACAUCGUGAAUAUUCGGUUAACACCACAAAUCAGAAGACAGCACAUCCUGGAUUGGAGCAAUCAACUCAAUCAGAUCUCCAAGUGCAGAUCAGUUCUAAACAAUUUUAAAUAAGGUACUGUUAGGGUACAUUUUGUGAAGGUAUGUUUCUGUGUCAUCAAUUGUUUAACGGGUACCUGCAGAGAGCUAAGUACUCGUCGCAUCUUGGUAUUGUUGUUUCCGUGGCCCAUCGCCAGCCUCAUAUUUUUGCAAACAUUCAUCCUUCCUUCCUUGCCUAUUGGAUGUAAUAAAAAACUGAUGGCCAAUAGCUGAGCAGGGACUAGGAGGCGGCACUUCCAGGCAGAGAUAGGAACUUCGGGAGAAGCAAUCAAAUGCAGGAGGUUCAUCAGGGAUCACAGAAGGGAUGAUUCAGGCCGGAGCAGAGAGGUAGACCUGGCCAUGUGACAAGAUGUAGGCCAGAAUUAGUCAGCUAGAGUCGUUGGGAGACUGCCAAGCUGAGGCAUUAAAAUAUUAUUGACUCCAUGUCAUUAUUUAUACAGCUGGGGGUGGGGUCCAUGAAAAGUCCCACUUUGAGGUGCAGGCCCUUUUAACAAAAUAGUUUCCAUUGAAACUAAUGGAAGAGGAAAUCUAAUGACAGGACUGUCUUAUUAUGUUAUUGUGUGUAUAUAUACAUACAAUAUGUACUAACAUGAAAACAGGCAUAGCUUUCUUAUACCUGUCCCUUUCUUUUCUCCCUGCCACUCCAUAGGGUUUCUCUGUAAGUUUCAAAGUGAGUGCCCACUUUUUAGACAAGACUAGCCUGCAACUCAGAGAGACCUGCCUGCCUCUGCCUCUCAAGUGCUGGGAUUAAAGGCGUGUGCCACCACCACCUGGCUAACCUUUCUUAGAGUUAUUAUAAAAUAUACAUUUUCAUAUAUGUAUCACUUUAAAAUUCCACAAAACUGAAUCACAGAAUGACCCAACUCUCUCUAAAGAUAUUUGCAUAGGAGUUGUGUGUUGCUAAACACCAUUAAUGCUAGUUCCCUAGGGUUUUUGUUGCUGUUGUUGUAAACAUCCUAUGAUAUUUUAAAUGUCAGGUGUGGUUCAGUCAGCUGCUUGACUGAUUGACAGCUGACAUAUUCUCUACCUUAACGUGGCUGUGUGGAGUAAGAGGCAUCUCAACUCUUAAACACAAAACAAAACAAAACAAAACAAAACAAAACAAAACAAACAAACAAACUUCUCUGGCCCUCCAGGAAUCACAUAACUUCAGCUUCACUAACAAUUGUGAUCAGGAUUGGAACUGACGCCAACAAGGUCUGCUUUGGGAGACCAUGCUCCAGCCGGGACCUCUUCCCACACAAUCUGUCUAAGAUUUGGAAGACUCUAGAUAACAAGGCUAGACAAACCUUGGUGAGCUCAGCAUCUCCUCCUGCUGUGACUCAGAAAAAAAAAAAAAAGUCCAGUGACUGGUGGACGGGGAACCGAUCAUUGGUCUUUGUGUAGGGCUUGAGUCAGGUGGAAUCCGGAGCUGCAUAUGUGGAACUAGGAGUGGUGGAAUCAGACUGAACAUGUGCAUCUGGGCCCCUCUUCUGGCUGCUUAAACAGACUACUCUUUUCAGCCUGACCAUAGCCCUCCAGAGGCACAGACACCAAAUGGUAGAUGUUUUCUGUGGGACUUACUUUGUGAUCUGUACCUGGAAAGAUCUCCACUUUUUAAAUUACAGCCUUAUUAAAUUACACUUAAACUUUUCAUGGAAACAAAUUAAUUAUGGACAUCUGAUAAAUAAUGCAGAUACCUGAUCCAUUCUGGGCAGAUGAUACUUAGCGGGAAGAAGUCAUCCCUCCCCAGUGAAAGAGUACACUUAGGGGAGUGAGGUAACGGAGUAACGUGUCCAAAACUAAGCCAGGCACCGUGUUGUCCCAUACAAGAUUCAGGGUUUCUUUCCAAGGAUACAAAUAGGAAUUUUGAGGCUUUCUAACUGCCUGAAAGAUUUCUCUAUCUGGCAUUAUAGUUCUUCUGGUUUUCUUCUACAAGGAUCACAAGUUCUUCUAUCCCCUCCUGGAGGAUUUCACGAGCCACUUGCUCCUCACUGAUCACAAGGGAAUCUCCAAAGAAAUCUGUUGCAUUUAUGUUUGAAGAAAGGCCUAUUGCUAUGAUGCGUUAAAAAUCUCAUUAUGGCAAUGCAUAUAUUAAAGAUCAUUCAUUUAUUUUUUAAAAUCUGAGAGGAUGGUUUUUACCAUACAAUUAUUUUGUUGUCUUGAUAUACCCAAACAAGGUAGGCCCUGACAAUGUAUGUAACAGGUGGUCACCAGGAUGGGGACUAUGUGAGCAAAUAUUUAUACCCUCAUAUCCUACCUCCUCAUUAUUUCUUUUACUUGCCUUUCCCCCAUCAUGAAGACAUGCCUAGGCUAAUGUUGUCCACUGGUAGUUUCUGUUGUCUUAGGAGAAAAUCAUUAGCAUUCAUUCUGUCUCCCUGUCUGCUUUGAGGAACUUUCCUGCCCCUACUAUCUCUUCUGCGAUGGGUUCAUCUCUAGACUAGAUUAACUUAUCAUGUUCCUUUUUUUUUUGAGUUCACAGAAUUGGAAGGAUAUAUCACUUCUAAUCUUCACCAAAUCAUUCUAUGGUUCUAAUUCCAUAUAAAAUUGAAAUUAAUUCAGUUGUGGUUCCAAAGUAUAGCUGAACUAUGGAUGAGUUAGUUAUUGCCGAACUCCAUGGGUUGCUAUUUAUUUAAGCAGAAUAGGUGCAACUCAUCCUAAAUUUAGAUAACAUGGCAGUUCUAGACUUGACCUGGAACCUUGAUUCUAUAAACUGUAGCCAAAUGAAAUCACAUACUCCUAAUUGCUUUCUCACAGAGACCCAAAAGACAUCAUGAACUUUAAAAUCAUGAAUAAGAACAUAGUUAUUAUGUAAAGUCGUGACACUUAUUCCUGAGAAUGUAAGUAUUUGUAUGUAUAUUCUUGCACUCACUGUUUAGUAGAACUAACUAUUGCAAUCCUGCUUUUGGAAAUGGCAAUCUGAUUUUUCUUAUUUAUUGCUGUGUAAUAAAAGACUUGAUUUUAUAAAGUGUGUGUGUGUGUGUGUGUGUGUGUGUGUGUGUGUGUGUGCGCGUGCAUUGUUAAGUACUGAACUCAAGUUUUCAUGUAUGCUGGACACGCAGUAUAUCAACUUAGCUAUUUCCCCAACUACAAAUUUUAAAAGAAAGUUAAAUAUGUUAACAAAGCCCCAAUUGGACAUUUCUGCCAUCAAAUAAAAACAGCAGUGCCAGGAAUUAGUUACAGCUAAUAGAGUUGUUGGCCAGUGGGCCACCAUGGAAACUCCUAAACAUCUCAAGCUAUUCCUAAGAGUAUUGGUUGUCUUCCACAAAUUGAUGGUAAGGCUUUAUUGCUGAAUAUAAUCUCAUCAAACAUAAAGGAGUUGAGCUGGUGCCUAAAUAGAGGCUUUCUCUACUUACUAGUAUUCUUGGUGCUGGAAGAUGCUCUGCACACUACCAGAAGAAAAUGGUAGUCAUCAACCCAGCUACAAACCCUGUGACCUACAAUGAUGACCUGCUUGUGAGAUGUACUGGUGUAAUCAUGGCACAGACAUUGUAGGCAUCACCAACCACUCUCUGAUUAUAUUUAAGUCCCAUUCCAUGAGAUAGAACAAUGCCUGACACUGUAAGAGUAUCCAAGACCUAAGACUGGAUAGACCAUGGGCAUAAGGGAAAACUAAAUAUUGCUGUUUACAAAUAUGAACAUAGAAAUGAAAUGACCCCUAAUGCCAUACUGGUAUACCCAUACAUCAAUGCCUCUAUCAGCCCUCAUCAGAGAAGAUUCUUCUUCCAGUGGAUGGUAGCUAACACAAAGACCCACAAUUGGAUAAUGUGCAGAAGAUUAGAGAUAUAGGCGCACUCAGUUCUAAACAGGAUGACUUCAUCAAAGUCCAUGAGAUCUCUCUCCUUAGGUCUCAAAGAACCUAAGCAGAAAAGUAGUCAGAAAGAUUGUGAGAGCCAUGAUAGAGGACUCCAAGGAAAUGGUAUCCUCCAGACAUAAUAUUAUUAACACAUGUGAACUCACAGAGACUGUGGCAGCAGGUUCAAACCAGACAGGGUCCAAGCACUGAGAGUGGAAAGUGGUCAUUCAGUCCACCUCUAACCAAGAAGCUAUGUGUAAUUAUCAUCCACUUGCAAUGGAAAAUUAAAUCUUCGCCAGUGGAAUCUUACUGAGUAUAUUAACCACACUUCAGGGUAGGAUCCACGCCCAAGCAGGAGAUGGUCAACAUAAAUAAGGUCUGGGACAUUUUUAUAGACUUUUCACCCCAUUUACUUUAUUUGGGCAUUGUUUUUGUCUUACUGGUCUUUUGCUUGUAUAUUUUGGUUUCUGAUAUUUUUGUUCUUAAGA